UCAGCCCUUUGUCGCUAA
rnacentral:snRNA from 1 species